AUUGAACGCUGGCGGCAGGCAUAACACCUGGAAGUCGAACGAGUGGCGGACGGGUGAGUAAGGAAUGGGAAACUGCAUGAUGGAGGGGGAUAAAUACUGGAAACGGUAGAUAAUACAGAAGACCAGCAGAGGUGCACAGAUGGGAUUAGCUUGUUGGUGGGGUAACGGCUAACCAAGGCGACGAUCCCUAGCUGGUCUGAGAGGAUGACCAGCCUCACUGCAACUGAGACACGUGCCUGACUCCUACGGGAGGCAGCAGUCGGGAAUAUUGCACAAUGGGCGCAAGCCUGAUGCAGCCAUGCCGCGUGCAUGACGAAGGCCUUCGGGUUGUAAAGUACUUUCAGCGCGUAGGCGUUACCCGCAGAAGAAGCACCGGCUAACUCCGUGCCAGCAGCCGCGGUAAUAC
rnacentral:rRNA from 1 species